AGCGAACGCUGGCGGCAGGCUUAGCACAUGCAAGUCGAACGGCAGCACAGUAAGUGUUUGCUCUUACGGGUGGCGUGAGGCGGGCGGGUGAGGCAUACAUCGGAAUCUACUUUUUCGUGGGUGAUAACGAAGCGGAACUUACGCUAAUACCGCAUACGAUAUACGGGUGAAAGCAGGGGAUCUUCGGACCUUGCGCGAUUGGAUGAGCCGAUGUCGGAUUAGCUAGUUGGGGGGGUAAACGCCCACGAAGGCGAGGAUCGGUAGCUGGUCUGAGAGGAUGAUCAGCCACACUGGAAGUGAGACAGGGUCCAGACUCCUACGGUAGGCAGCAGUGGGGAAUAUUAGGCAAUGGGGGCAAGCCUGAUCCAGCCAUACGGCGUGGGUGAAGAAGGCGUUCGGGUUGUAAAGCCCUUUUGUUGGGAGAGAAAAGCAGCAGGUUAAUACGCCGCUGUUCUGACGGUACCCAAAGAAUAAGCACCGGCUAACUUCGUG
rnacentral:rRNA from 1 species